CCUAGGGUGGCUGCAGUGGGGAAUAUUGGACAAUGGGCGAAAGCCUGAUCCAGCCAUGCCGCGUGUGUGAAGAAGGCCUUCGGGUUGUAAAGCACUUUCAGUGGGGAAGAAAGCCUUGGGGCUAAUACCCUCGAGGAAGGACAUCACCCACAGAAGAAGCACCGGCUAACUCCGUGCCAGCAGCCGCGGUAAUACGGAGGGUGCGAGCGUUAAUCGGAAUUACUGGGCGUAAAGCGCGCGUAGGCGGUCUGAUAAGCCGGUUGUGAAAGCCCCGGGCUCAACCUGGGAACGGCAUCCGGAACUGUCAGGCUAGAGUGCAGGAGAGGAAGGUAGAAUUCCCGGUGUAGCGGUGAAAGGCGUAGAGAUCGGGAGGAAUACCAGUGGCGAAGGCGGCCUUCUGGACUGACACUGACGCUGAGGUGCGAAAGCGUGGGUAGCAAACAGGAUUAAUACCCGAGUGU
rnacentral:rRNA from 1 species